AUGCUCUUUUGUAGCCUCACGCCUGACUGUUUAGAUAUUCUCUUUAUAUAUGUAUACAUAAAUAAGUCAUUGCAAGCUGAAUUGUGCCCAGUUUCUGGCCCUGCACAGACUUUGCCACACACACUCCGAGAGAGAGAGAGGGAAAAAGCAGCGACGUGAACGAGCAGCCUCGGCGCCUGGCAUCGUUUGCAAUAACGUGUCGCAUCUUUUUCUAAAAAAAACUAAGGUUGAGAAAUUUAGGAUUGACUCCAAGAGCAGGAGCAAUGAGGAGAGAAUUGACAUAACAGGAGCUGUUCCACCUCGGUCUGAAUAGUGGAGAAGUGAAGAAUGUGGACCCAGCAGACAGUGCGAUACCACCAAACUCACCGAGUUUCUGCAGCAUUUUUCUGUUUCCAGGUCUGACGUCCAGCAUCCACUGUAUUUAAUUAUUAAUUGCAAAUCACAACAGUUUGUUACCAAGUUGUUAAUGACUUGACAAUUGGCCACUGAGAUGAACCCUCAUCUCUUCAUCUGACAAUGUCCAUUUUGAUGAGGAUGAUCAAAAUGCCUUCCUUCGCUGACUGGUUCAGCAAAAACCACUCUGGGACAUGACUGGUACCCAUUGCAUACUGAAUUGUUCAAAUGUACAGUUUUGACUUUUGACUACAGAUGCUCUUUUAAUGUUACAAGAGGAGCAGCUCCAGACCAGAGCAGCUGGACUUACUUUCCAUCUCUCUCUCUCCCUGAAAAGUCUCAUCACCAGAAAAAACCUCAAACUUUAUCUGCCAAAUUGAAUUUGGUAUCUUUGGCCACCCAUCAGAACCACAGAUCCCAGAAAAAGAACUGUGACAAGAUCAGCCACUUGCAGACAUCAAAUUGUGUAUUGACUCAGUGGACACUGUUGCAUUAACUGAUUUCAAUAUCUAUGUAUUUUUAAGAAGCUUUUUGGAACUUCCCUUAUUUUAUCCUUCUACCUUGUAUGACUACAUGUGAUUGAAGCAGCGAAGCAGUUCUUUGAGUUUUUAAUGUCUUAUUAAUAAAUGAACCCUACCUUGGUUUUCAU